GAGUUUGAUCAUGGCUCAGGAUGAACGCUAGCGGCAGGCUUCAUACAUGCAAGUCGAGGGGCAGCAUAAAUUACUUGUAAUUUGAUGGCGACCGGCGAACGGGUGCGUAACGCGUAUGCAACUUACCUUUUACUAGAGAAUAGCCAAGAGAAAUUUUGAUUAAUGCUCUAUGUUCUUAUUUACUCGCAUGAGUAAAUAAGCAAAGCUCCGGCGGUAAAAGAUGGGCAUGCGUCCUAUUAGCUUGUAGGUGAGGUAAUGGCUCACCUAAGCUCCGAUAGGUAGGGGUCCCGAGAGGGAGAUCCCCCACACUGGUACUGAGACACGGACCAGACUUCUACGGAAGGCAGCAGUAAGGAAUAUUGGACAAUGGAGGCAACUCUGAUCCAGCCAUGCCGCGUGAAGGAAGACGGCCUUAUGGGUUGUAAACUUCUUUUAUACAGGAAGAAACCUUUCCACGUGUGGAAAGUUGACGGUACUGUAAGAAUAAGGAUCGGCUAACUCCGUGCCAGCAGCCGCGGUAAUACGGAGGAUCCAAGCGUUAUCCGGAAUUAUUGGGUUUAAAGGGUCCGCAGGCUGUUUGUUAAGUCAGAGGUGAAAUCCUACCGCUCAACGGUAGAACUGCCUUUGAUACUGGCAAACUUGAGUUAUUGUGAAGUAGUUAGAAUGUGUAGUGUAGCGGUGAAAUGCAUAGAUAUUACACAGAAUACCGAUUGCGAAAGCAGAUUACUAACAAUAUACUGACGCUGAGGGACGAAAGCGUGGGUAGCGAACAGGAUUAGAUACCCUGGUAGUCCACGCCGUAAACGAUGGUCACUAGCUGUUCGACGUAC
rnacentral:rRNA from 1 species